GUUCGGAGCAGUUUCGUCGGCCAUGAGGAAAGUCCCCCCACCGUUCGGACAGGUGACCGGGCACAAGCCCGGAGUCGGAGACGACUGGCUCUGAAACAGAAACGAGACCACCUGCCCCGACCAAUGAAGCGCGUGCGGCCGCCGCUGGUGGCCGACGUCGCCCGCGGCCUCGCCGCGAGCGAGCGAACCAACCCGUAAGGGAAGGGAGUUAACCCGCAGAGGGAGCGUGGUGCGUAGCACCAUGAUUAUAAUAUUGACGGGCAGGAACGGAUGGAACGGUGAAUCCUCACCGGUGCAAGUCCGCGUCAGACGGUCGGUCCCCGUCCGCAGCAGGUGGAUGGUCGACCGUCGAGGUAGUCCGAACACGACGACGGACGCUCAGCCGAAUGUCGGGUCGAAACAGAAGGGGGCUUACUCCUCUCAGC
rnacentral:RNase_P_RNA from 1 species